rnacentral:rRNA from 1 species
UACGGGGGGAGCAAGCGUUGUUCGGAUUUACUGGGCGUAAAGGGCGCGUAGGCGGCCACUGCAAGUCAGUUGUGAAAUCUCCGGGCUUAACUCGGAAAGGUCAACUGAUACUGCAGGGCUAGAGUGCAGAAGGGGCAACUGGAAUUCUCGGUGUAGCGGUGAAAUGCGUAGAUAUCGAGAGGAACACCUGCGGCGAAGGCGGGUUGCUGGGCCGACACUGACGCUGAUGCGCGAAAGCCAGGGGAGCGAACGGG